UAAUGUCACCUUUGACUUUUCCCAACUUAAAUUGCAUCUAUUUUCAUAUUCUAGAAAAAAGAAAAUAGCAUUUGAAAAAGGAAAAGAUGAUCAAGCACUUUCAAAGACAAAAAAUACAAUGCAUCUAUAAAGGCAAAUGCGGCAUUGAGUGACUAAAUCUGAUGAACAGGGAAGACUUCUGACAGACACUGAAUUGGGAGAAGGAGCCUUCCUGCUCCGAGACCAGUGACAUGUACUUGGAAAUGAUGAGACAAGGUCUCCCUAUGUUGCUCAGGGUGGUCUCGAAC